rnacentral:pre_miRNA from 1 species
GGUGAAAUUGCUGGGUCAUAUGGCAAAUUUGUUUAACUUUUAAAGAAACUGCCAAGCUGUUUUCCAAAGUGUUUGUACUAUUUGACAUUUUCAUUAGCAGU